GACAGGAUGGCCGAGCGGUUAAGGCGGUAGUUUCGAAAGCUACUCCUCUUUGAGGGCGUGAGUUCAAAUCUCACUUCUGUCG
rnacentral:tRNA from 2 species